CCUACGGGAGGCAGCAGUGGGGAAUAUUGCACAAUGGGGGAAACCCUGAUGCAGCGACGCCGCGUGAGCGAAGAAGUAUCUCGGUAUGUAAAGCUCUAUCAGCAGGGAAGAAAAUGACGGUACCUGACUAAGAAGCCCCGGAUAACUACGUGCCAGCAGCCGCGGUAAUACGUAGGGGGCAAGCGUUAUCCGGAUUUACUGGGUGUAAAGGGAGCGCAGGCGGCGGGGUAAGUCUGAUGUGAAAGCCCGGGGCUCAACCCCGGGACUGCAUUUGAAACUGGCGUGCUUGAGUGUCGGAGGGGCAAGUAGAAUUCCUAGUGUAGCGGUGAAAUGCGUAGAUAUCAGGAGGAACACCAGUGGCGAAGGCGGCCUGCUGGACGACAACUGACGCUGAGGUGCGAAAGCGUGGGGAGCAAACAGGAUUAGAUACCCCUGUAGUC
rnacentral:rRNA from 1 species